UAUGCAUGAGGGGGCGGGGCGGGGCGGGGCCGCGCUGGCCGGGGCUGAGACUCCGGCGCUGACCCCCCGGCGGCUCAGACCCCCGCGGACCCGCCCCUCCGGUCCCUCGACCAUGAGACGUGUUUCCGGAGAGAGUCAUGCCUGCUGCUGUAAGGGGACUGAACCCUGAAUAUCAUGCUGACUGUAGCACCCAGGCCUGGUUUAUGGAGCUCCAAACAGGCCCCUCUUUAAUCCACAUCCCUUACCAGGACCGUGCCUAUGACUGUCUUAAAGAUUUGCGAAGAACCUGUGAAAGACCAGGAGCGUGGAAGAGAGAAAAUGGAAGUCUUUGCUUUGGAAAUGAUUUUAUUUUAUUUAUUUGCGAGAAUGAGAGAGAGUGCACACAAGCAGGGGGAGCAGCAGGAAGAGGGAGAAGCAGGCUCCGUGCUGAGCAGCGAGCCCGACGCAGAGCUUGAUCCCAGGACCCUGGGACCCUGACCCGAGCCGAAGACAGACACCCAACCGACUGAGCCACCCAAGUGUCCCUAAACUGUGGUUUUUAACAAGUUCCCUGGUGAUGCUGAUGCUGCCUAUCCUGGUAUCACACUUGGAGAACCAAUGCUUGAAGAGAAUCUCUCCCCUUGGAACUUAAGGAGGAACAAAUGUUCCCUUCAACAGAACGUGUUUGGUGGCCAGUGACAGAAACCCAACUCAAACUGAAAUAAAAAGAACGUAUUGGUUCAUGUAACUACAUGAUACAGCUGUUGCACUGACUUCAAGCUGGACGAGACUCAGAGUCUCAAAUGGGGUCUUUAGGACUCUUUCACUCUCUGUAUCUCUCAGCUGUGCUUCUUCUACAUGGCUCUUGUCUUAAGCAGGGUUUCCCCUGGGGUUGGCAAGAUGGCAUCACUUAAGUUCUUUCCCCUAAGCAAGUGUUUCUCAAACUUCAGCAUGAAUCAGAAUCACCUGGAGGGCUUGUUAAAACACAGAUGCUGGGGCCCAGCCCAGGAGUUUCGGAUUCAGUAGAC